CUACGGGUUGCACCAGUGGGGAAUAUUGCACAAUGGGCGAAAGCCUGAUGCAGCAACGCCGCGUGAGGGACGACGGCCUUCGGGUUGUAAACCUCUUUUAGCAGGGAAGAAGCGAAAGUGACGGUACCUGCAGAAAAAGCACCGGCUAACUACGUGCCAGCAGCCGCGGUAAUACGUAGGGUGCAAGCGUUGUCCGGAAUUAUUGGGCGUAAAGAGCUCGUAGGCGGUUUGUCGCGUCUGCUGUGAAAAUCCGAGGCUCAACCUCGGACCUGCAGUGGGUACGGGCAAACUAGAGUGCGGUAGGGGAGAUUGGAAUUCCUGGUGUAGCGGUGGCAUGCGCAGAUAUCAGGAGGAACACCAAUGGCGAAGGCAGAUCUCUGGGCCGUAACUGACGCUGAGGAGCGAAAGCGUGGGGAGCGAACAGGAUUAGAUACCCCGGUAGUC
rnacentral:rRNA from 1 species